rnacentral:rRNA from 1 species
AUUGAACGCUGGCGGCAGGCCUAACACAUGCAAGUCGAACGAGCGGCGGACGGGUGAGUAAUGUAUGGGGAUCUGCCCGAUAGAGGGGGAUAACUACUGGAAACGGUAGCUAAUACCGCAUACCAUCGGAUGUACCCAGCUGGGAUUAGCUAGUAGGUGGGGUAACGGCUCACCUAGGCGACGAUCCCUAGCUGGUCUGAGAGGAUGACCAGCCACACUGGAACUGAGACACGGUCCAGACUCCUACGGGAGGCAGCAGUGGGGAAUAUUGCACAAUGGGCGCAAGCCUGAUGCAGCCAUGCCGCGUGUAUGAAGAAGGCCUUAGGGUUGUAAAGUACUUUCAGCGGGGAGGCGUUACCCGCAGAAGAAGCACCGGCUAACUCCGUGCCAGCAGCCGCGGUAAUUC